rnacentral:rRNA from 1 species
UCAAAUGAAUUGACGGGGGCCCGCACAAGCGGUGGAGCAUGUGGUUUAAUUCGAUGCAACGCGAAGAACCUUACCUGGUCUUGACAUCCACGGAAAUUUUCAGAGAUGAGAAUGUGCCUUCGGGAACCGUGAGACAGGUGCUGCAUGGCUGUCGUCAGCUCGUGUUGUGAAAUGUUGGGUUAAGUCCCGCAACGAGCGCAACCCUUAUCCUUUGUUGCCAGCG